ensembl:snoRNA SNORD42 Small nucleolar RNA SNORD42
AAGGAAAUGAUGGCAAAAUCACUAUUUGAGGAGCAAAUUACAUAAACAAAGGAACCACUAAUGCAC